GACUUGACAUCUCCUGAAUUACUCUUAAUCGAGGAAGUCCCUUCGGGGACAGGAAGACAGGUGGUGCAUGGUUGUCGUCAGCUCGUGUCGUGAGAUGUUGGGUUAAGUCCCGCAACGAGCGCAACCCUUAUUGUUAGUUGCUACUAUUAAGUUAAGCACUCUAACGAGACUGCCGCGGUUAACGUGGAGGAAGGUGGGGAUGACGUCAAAUCAUCAUGCCCCUUAUGUCUAGGGCUACACACGUGCUACAAUGGCUGGUACAACGAGCAGCAAACCCGCGAGGGGGAGCAAAACUUGAAAGCCAGUCCCAGUUCGGAUUGUAGGCUGAAACUCGCCUACAUGAAGUUGGAGUUGCUAGUAAUCGCGAAUCAGCAUGUCGCGGUGAAUACGUUCCCGGGUCUUGUACACACCGCCCGUCACACCAUGAGAGCCGGUAACACCCGAAGCCCGUGAGGUAACCGUAAGGAGCCAGCGGUCGAAGGUGGGAUUGGUGAUUGGGGUGAAGUCGUAACAAGGUAGCCGUAGGAGAACCUGCGGCUGGAUCACAUCCUUUCUAGGGA
rnacentral:rRNA from 1 species